AGGUACCUCCCCAGAAGAAAUGAAAACGUAUGUCUACAAAAGACUUGCUCAAGGAUAUACAUAGGUGCUAAUAGUCAAAAGCUAGAAACAUCCCAAAUGUCUAUCAACAAGAGAAUGGAUAAACAAAUAGUGCAUAUACAUCCAUACAAUGCAAUACAAGUUAGCAAUAAAAAGGAACAGGUUGCUAACACAUACCACAUAUACUAAGUGAAAGAAGCCAGGCACAAAGAGAAUUGAUACUGCAUGAUUCUUUUUAGAUGAGGUUCUAUACAUGUAUAGUCUUAACAGGGGUAAACUCUGGUGAUAAAAAAGAGACUGAACCAAAAUGGGCCCCAUGGGCAGGAAGCAGUGGUGCACAUCUGUAAUCGCAGCUACUGGGUGGCUGAGGUAGAAGGAUCACUUGAGCUCAGGAGUUCAAGGAUAGCCUGAGCAGCACAGCAAGACUCCAUCUCAAAAAAAGCGGGGCGGGGGGCGGAGUGUGCCUGAAACUUUCUAGGAUAAUAGAACUGUCCCAUAUUUUGAUUCAGAUGAUGGCAACAUGGAUGUGAAUGUUUACAUUUGUCAAAAUUCAUAGGGCCGGGCACGGUAGCUCAUGCCUAUAAUCCCAGAACUUUGGGAGGCUGAGGUGGGUGGAUCACCUGAGGUCAGGAGUUCAAGACCAGCCUGGCUAACAUGGUGAAACCCCUUCCUUAUGAAAAAUACAAAAAUUAACCAGUCGUGGUGGUGCAUGCUUGUAAUUCCAGCUAGUUGGGAGGCUGAGGCAGGGGAAUCACUUGAACCUGGGAGACAGAGGUUGCAGUGAGCUGAGAAAGCGCCAUUGUACUCCAGCCUGGGUGAGAAGAGCAAAACUUUCUUUAAAAAAAAAAAAAAUUCAUAGAACUGUAGACUUAAGAUCUGUGUAUUUUGGCCAGGCAUGGUGGCUCACACCUGUAAUCACAGCACUUUGGGAGGCCGAGGUGGGCGGAUCACUUGAGGUCAGAAGUUCGAGACCAGCCUGGCCAACAUAGUAAAAUCCUAUCUCUACUGAAAAUACAAAAAUUAGCUGGGUGUGGUGGUGCAUGCCUGUAGUUCAAGCUGCUCAGGAGGCUGAGGCAGGAGAAUUGCUUGAACUUGGGAGGCUACAGUGAGCCCAGAUUGUGCCACUGCACUCCAGCCUGGGCAACAGAACAAGACUCCAUCUCAAAAAAAAAAAAAACUAUGUAUUUAUUUUAUGAUAUGUACAUUCAAUAAAGAAAGCAAACUUAUACAAUGCAGCUAAAACAACA
rnacentral:lncRNA from 1 species